rnacentral:tRNA from 1 species
GCCCCCGUAGCUCAAUGGACAGAGCAAUGCCCUUCUAAGGCAAAGAUGCAAGUUCGAUUCCUGCCGGGGGCA